rnacentral:rRNA from 1 species
AUUGAACGCUGGCGGCAGGCUUAACACAUGCAAGUCGAACGAUGAAGAUAUAGCUUGCUAUAUCGGAUUAGUGGCGGACGGGUGAGUAAUACUUAGGAAUCUACCUUUUAGCGGGGGAUAGCUCGGGGAAACUCGAAUUAAUACCGCAUAAUUUCUACGGAAUAAAGAGGGCUUUUGGCUCUCACUAGAAGAUGAGCCUAAGUAAGAUUAGCUAGUUGGUGGGGCAAAAGCCUACCAAGGCGACGAUCUUUAGCUGGUCUGAGAGGAUGAUCAGCCACACUGGGACUGAGACACGGCCCAGACUCCUACGGGAGGCAGCAGUGGGGAAUAUUGGACAAUGGGGGCAACCCUGAUCCAGCCAUGCCGCGUGUGUGAAGAAGGCCUUUUGGUUGUAAAGCACUUUAAGCAGUGAAGAAGACCUAUUGGUUAAUACCCAAUAGCGAUGACAUUAACUGCAGAAUAAGCACCGGCUAACUCUGUGCCAGCAGCCGCGGUAAUACAGAGGGUGCAAGCGUUAAUCGGAAUUACUGGGCGUAAAGCGAGCGUAGGUGGUUAAAUAAGUCAGAUGUGAAAGCCCUGGGCUCAACCUAGGAACGGCAUCUGAAACUAUUUAACUAGAGUAGGUGAGAGGGAAGUAGAAUUUCAGGUGUAGCGGUGAAAUGCGUAGAGAUCUGAAGGAAUACCGAUGGCGAAGGCAGCUUCCUGGCAUCAUACUGACACUGAGGCUCGAAAGCGUGGGUAGCAAACAGG